CUAAACAUUCUUCAUGCAUCUCUAACACUUGUAAUCAAUCAAAUUCAUUGUAUUAUAACAUAUUUUAACCCUAAACAACUUUAGACAAGCCAUUUACUGCCUCAAAGCAUUUGUUGAGGGUUCUUAUCCCAUUUGGGACAAAAUUUGACCAACUCUUUCUUCACACUUCUAAACAAUCUUCAUGCAUCUCUAGAACUUGUAAUCAAUCAAAUUCAUUGUAUUAUAACAUAUUCUAACCCUAAAACACUUUAGACAAGCAAUUUAGUGCCUCAAAGCAAUGGUUUUGGGUUCUUAUCCCAUUUGGG
rnacentral:lncRNA from 1 species